rnacentral:rRNA from 1 species
UACGUAGGGUGCAAGCGUUGUCCGGAAUUAUUGGGCGUAAAGAGCUCGUAGGCGGUUUGUCGCGUCUGCUGUGAAAACCCGAGGCUCAACCUCGGGCCUGCAGUGGGUACGGGGCAGACUAGAGUGCGGUAGGGGGAGAUUGGAAUUCCUGGUGUAGCGGUGGAAUGCGCAGAUAUCAGGAGGAACACCAAUGGCGAAGGCAGAUCUCUGGGCCGUAACUGACGCUGAGGAGCGAAAGUGUGGGGAGCGAACAGG